UACGUAGGGUGCGAGCGUUAAUCGGAAUUACUGGGCGUAAAGCGUGCGCAGGCGGUUUUGUAAGCCAGAUGUGAAAUCCCCGGGCUUAACCUGGGAAUGGCAUUUGGGACUGCAAGGCUUGAGUGCGGCAGAGGAGACUGGAAUUCCUGGUGUAGCAGUGAAAUGCGUAGAUAUCAGGAGGAAUACCGAUGGCGAAGGCAGGUCUCUGGGCUGACACUGACGCUCAUGCACGAAAGCGUGGGGAGCAACAGG
rnacentral:rRNA from 1 species